rnacentral:rRNA from 1 species
CCCUUAGACACUCUAGGCGGCACGCGCGCUACAAUGGGUGGAAGAACGUGUUACUGCCUCUGAAAGGAGGGGUGAAUCACGAAUUCUUGUCCGUGAAUGGGAUAGUUUGUUGCAAUUUUCGGACUUGAACUAGGAAUCCCUUGUAAACAUGCUCAAGAAUAGCGUGUUGAAUACGUCCCUGCCGUUUGUACACACCGCCCGUCGUUUCUUCCGACUGAUACUCAUUGUGAGUUGCAAGGACCCUUUAUUGGGAAAUUGCUGCAAAUGCUUUGUAUUGGAGGAAGAAAAAGUCGUAACA